AGACUAAGAUUUCCUGGGAUGUGGGCUUAGCCUACCCCAUUUCCCCUCAGCAGAGCCUAGAAUAAAAAGGCCAAGCCUGCUUCCUCAUGGGAUGAGUGUUUGAGGAAGGAGCUUCACCCAGGGUAGCCCAGCCUCACAUUU